rnacentral:rRNA from 1 species
CGCAGCCGCGGUAAUUCCAGCUCCAAUAGCGUAUAUUAAAGUUGUUGCAGUUAAAAAGCUCGUAGUUGAAUUUCGGGAUCAGUACGCUGGUCGUGCCUUCGGUAUGUACUGGUGUUACUGGUUCCUACCUUCUGACGAACCGUCAUGUCAUUAAUUUGGUGUGGCGGGGAAUCAGGACUGUUACUUUGAAAAAUUAGAGUGUUUAAAGCAGGCUCGCGCUUGAAUACAUUAGCAUGGAAUAAUGAAAUAGGACGUUCGAUCCUAUUUUGUUGGUUUCUAGGAUUGACGUAAUGAUUAAUAGGGAUAGUUGGGGGCAUUAGUAUUCAAUUGUCAGAGGUGAAAUUCUUGGAUUUAUUGAAGACUAACUACUGCGAAAGCAUUUGCCAAGGAUGUUUUCAUUAAU